CUGAAAGCGCUUUGCACAUAUUAACUCACUCAAUCCUCAGAGCCGCUUUAUGAGGUAUGUGCUGUCAUGAUCCUCACUUUAACAAAUGGGAAAUAUGAGGUGCAGAAAGGGCAAGAAACUUUCCCCAAAGCUCACGAGAAGUGCGGCACGGAUUUGAAAUUAGGGUGUCAGCUCGAGACGCCAAGCUUCAACUCCCACCCCACCGGGGCCCUCCCCAGAGCCUCCAUGUCUCCCUGCCGUUGCCGGGCACCUCGUCCAGGGUGCCUUCCUGUUCCCCACUGCUCAACCUCCCCAACCUCCCCAGCCCUUACUGCCAAUAUCCUCAGAGGGCUGGGGAGCCCAAUAACAGCACCCCCCAGGUGUGAUCAGAGGACAGCGGGCAGAAAGCACUGGAAUGGGCUUAAACACUAAACAAACCCCAGUGCCUUUGAAGUACCAUGCUCUGGUCACUUGUGUUGGUGAAAGCCGUAGUCCUGAGGCCACCUGCCCUCUCCCAGAACUGAAGAGCUGGCACCCAUGAAGGGCCAGGCUGACCCCACUCCCCAUGCAGCCGCAAGCCAGGACUGCAGCAAUGCAGAGAGCAGAGACCACCAGGAUGGCCCCUGGCUGGGCCCCCAAAUGACCUGCGGGCAGGCUGUGCUCACAGGAGGCUGCGUGUCUGCUGGAGUCCGCACCUGCCAGCCUGGCUCUGCAUCUGGAAGCCUUACAGGAGCACCUCAGAGCCGAGCUUCGAGGCCUUGCUGCAGUCAGAUGGGGAAUACACGGCCCACCUGCUCCCCAAGCAGCCUGCCCUGCCAUGCUGCCCUGUGGGUCUGGGGUACCACUGGAUGAGCUCUGGUGACAACAAGUUUCAGCUCAGCUGCCGACUCCGCUCUGGAAGCCCGAGGGGCUCCCGGGGGCUCAGGCUUCCUUCCGCAGCAGCCACCCUUGCUGGGGCUGCUUCCUCCCAGAAGGUCACGGCUCUGCGGUGUCUUGUUGGUCAUCUGUCCUGUGUCCAGCACUGACACUGCUGCAGCUGUGAGCCUUCCCCAGGGCUCGGCCAGUUGAACCCAGGAGGAGGCAGAUCCAUCCAGCUGCUCAGAGGCCCAGGGUGGCCUCUUUGGGAAGGAGCUGCUCUGUGCAGAGCUGGGCCUCUGAAGAUCUGGGAUCCUCCAGGCCUGGGGUAAUGAAAGCCCUUCAUUGAUGGCCAAACCUUCCCUCCACCAGGGCAAUAUGCCCCACACAUCACUGUCCCUUCCUUGUCACCUUCCUCCCUGGAGCUGACCCAGUUAUGGGCUUGAAAAUAUUAAUCUACUUCUUUGGGUGA
rnacentral:lncRNA from 1 species